rnacentral:rRNA from 1 species
GUGAGGAAUAUUGGUCAAUGGGCGGGAGCCUGAACCAGCCAAGUCGCGUGAAGGAAGAAGGAUCUAUGGUUCGUAAACUUCUUUUGCAGGGGAAUAAAGUGCAGGACGUGUCCUGUUUUGUAUGUACCCUGAGAAUAAGGAUCGGCUAACUCCGUGCCAGCAGCCGCGGUAAUACGGAGGAUCCGAGCGUUAUCCGGAUUUAUUGGGUUUAAAGGGUGCGUAGGUGGUUUGAUAAGUCAGCGGUGAAAGUUUGCAGCUUAACUGUAAAAUUGCCGUUGAAACUGUCGAUCUUGAGUGCAAAUGAGGUAAGCGGAAUGUGUUGUGUAGCGGUGAAAUGCUUAGAUAUAACACAGAACACCGAUUGCGAAGGCAGCUUACUGGGAUGCAACUGACGCUCAUGCACGAAAGCGUGGGGAUCAAACAGGAUUAGAAACCCGAGUAGUCC